rnacentral:rRNA from 1 species
CCUACGGGGGGCAGCAGUGAGGAAUAUUGGUCAAUGGGCGGAAGUCUGAACCAGCCAAGUAGCGUGCGGGAUGAAGGCCCUACGGGUCGUAAACCGCUUUUGCACGGGGAUAACACCCUCCACUUGUGGAGGUCUGCAGGUACCGUGCGAAUAAGGGCCGGCUAAUUCCGUGCCAGCAGCCGCGGUAAUACGGAAGGCCCGAGCGUUAUCCGGAUUUAUUGGGUUUAAAGGGUGCGUAGGCGGGUUAUCAAGUCAGCGGUAAAAUCGUGGAGCUCAACUCCAUCCAGCCGUUGAAACUGAUGAUCUUGAGUGGGCGAGAAGUAUGCGGAAUGCGUGGUGUAGCGGUGAAAUGCAUAGAUAUCACGCAGAACUCCGAUUGCGAAGGCAGCAUACCGGCGCCCGACUGACGCUGAAGCACGAAAGCGUGGGUAUCGAACAGGAUUAGAUACCCGGGUAGUC